UCUAGAGAUAGAGCCUUCCCCUUCGGGGGACAAAGUGACAGGUGGUGCAUGGUUGUCGUCAGCUCGUGUCGUGAGAUGUUGGGUUAAGUCCCGCAACGAGCGCAACCCUUAAGCUUAGUUGCCAUCAUUAAGUUGGGCACUCUAGGUUGACUGCCGGUGACAAACCGGAGGAAGGUGGGGAUGACGUCAAAUCAUCAUGCCCCUUAUGAUUUGGGCUACACACGUGCUACAAUGGACAAUACAAAGGGCAGCUAAACCGCGAGGUCAUGCAAAUCCCAUAAAGUUGUUCUCAGUUCGGAUUGUAGUCUGCAACUCGACUACAUGAAGCUGGAAUCGCUAGUAAUCGUAGAUCAGCAUGCUACGGUGAAUACGUUCCCGGGUCUUGUACACACCGCCCGUCACACCACGAGAGUUUGUAACACCCGAAGCCGGUGGAGUAACCAUUUAUGGAGCUAGCCGUCGAAGGUGGGACAAAUGAUUGGGGUGAAGUCGUAACAAGGUAGCCGUAUCGGAAG
rnacentral:rRNA from 1 species